UUCUCCUUCCUCUGCCUCACUCUGCACAGCCACCGGCCUCCUUGCUUUUUCUCAAACACACUUGCCUGUUUCAGCCUCAGGCUUUCUGAAUUCACAGUUUCCACUGACUGGAACUCUUUCCUCAGAUAUCCCCCUGGCCAAAUUCCUCAUUUUCUGAGGUGUCUUAUUAAAUAACUCUUCCCUUACCUCAUUUUCUAAAGUAGCACUCUUCAUUUUUUCUCUUUUACCAUUUUUUAACUUUUUACAUCUCUUACUAUCACCCUUGAGGGUAAGAACUCUUUUUGUUUGAUGGUGUAUCUAUUGCCUGGAAUAGCUACUGGCAAAUUUUAGGCAUUCAAUAAAUAGUUGAUGGAUAUGUGAAUAAAUAAAGGACUCUUUCAAUU
rnacentral:lncRNA from 1 species